GGGGUGAGGGGGUGCAAAGGGAGCGAGGAGGGGGAGAGGGGAGCUGGCCUAGACCUAGCCCCGUCAACGGGGCCGGGGUAACUUGCGGCGGGCGGCGGGUUUCUUGAGGAGGGAGCGGCCUGCGGAGCGGAAGGAGGUUAGGAGGGGGAGAGAGACGACCUAGACCCGCUAGGUGUAGCGGGCACUAUGGCGGAGGGGCUGUGGUGGCGCUGCCUGGAGCGGAGACGGGACUACCAUCGACCACGGGGGCAGCGAGCUGCAGCAAGCGGCAGCGGCAGCGGUGUUGUUGGCUGCAGCGGACAGGGAUGGAGCAGCAACGGCUGGUGAAGCAGCGACCUGGAGGAGCGCGGAGAGGUAGCGGCCUCGGUGCAGCGGUGCGGCUAGCAGCGGCGACGGACCUGUAGCGGCCUAGACGGGGCGGCAGUAGGGGCAGGAGGAAGAGUUGGGGGCGGCAGCAAAGGGAUGUUGGGGUGCUGGGGCUCUGGCGACGACUACGGGGAUACUAGCUGAUGUAGCUGCUGCUGGGAGGAAGAACAGACUCGUUGAUCCACCACCUAGGAACCUCGGUAUACGGUGGCAGCUGCCUAUGAUGAUGUACUUCUAGUGGCUGCUGGUCCUCAUCAAUCCUCCAGGGUCCGUCCUCCGGAACGGAGAAACUAGCACAACGAAAACACGAUCGGAAGGAGAAACUAGCACAACGAAAACACGAUCGGAAGAAUCCCGUCAGAACAAAAUGAAUACAGACAUGAGUCUAUAACGACGAAGGCGACUGAGAACACAUAGCUCGGACAUAAGCUCGGGAGCUCCGGGGACAGAACAUUAUAUUUCGAACAUAAUAAAACUAAACACAGAUCUCAACACAACACUAUAGAAGCGCACUCAGGGAC
rnacentral:rRNA from 1 species